rnacentral:lncRNA from 1 species
CAGAUGCAAAGGAAUUGCUAAAGACUCAGUAGUUGAGGGCUAUAUUUUGAGCCAGGACCAAAGCAAAAAGAACUACUUUCACUUAUAGUAAGGGCCCAGAUGCAGGAAGUAGACAUCUCAAACAGUGUGGUGUGAGAGCAGUGUGGGAUGGCAAAAAGAGGAUCCAGGCCAUCCUGGAAAUAGUCCUUUGGCCACAGAAGUUAAUUGUUACCAUCAGUGCCUUAGAAAGUAAGAAGUAGUGACUGACAUCAGGACUCCAAA